ensembl:lncRNA
CAGGGUACUGGGUGGAGGCUGGAUAGUGACAGUGACUAAGGUUCAGGACCGGGUACUGGGUGGAGCCUGGAUAGUGACAGUGACUAAGGUUCAGGGCAGGGUACACGGUGGAGGCUGGAUAGUUACAGUAACUAAGGUUCAGGGCAGGGUACUGGGGAAGGCUAGUAACAGUGACUAAGGUUCAGGGCAGGGUACACGGUGGAGGCUGGAUAGUUACAGUAACUAAGGUUCAGGGCAGGGUACACGGUGGAGGCUGGAUAGUGACAGUGACUAAUGUUCAGGGCAGGGUACUGGGUGGAGGCUGGCUAGUAACAGUGACUAAGGUUCAGGACAGGGUACUGGGUAGAGGCUGGAUAGUGGUAACUAAUGUUCAGGACAGGGUACUGGGUGGAGGCUGGAUAGGGAAAGUGACUAAGGAUCCCUAUUUAUCCUGAAUACACACCACUCUGAUAUAGGAUCCCUAUUUAUCCUGAAUACACAACACUCUGAUAUAGGAUCCCUAUUUAUCCUGAAUACACACCACUCUGAUG